UUCGCAAUGCCCGAAAGGGUGACGGAGCGACGCCGCGUGUGGGAUGAAGUCCUUCGGGAUGUAAACCACUGUCAGGGGAAAGAAAGUACUGAUCUACCCCAGAGGAAGGCACGGCUAACUCUGUGCCAGCAGCCGCGGUAAGACAGAGGUGCCAAGCGUUAGGCGGAAUCACUGGGCUUAAAGCGUGUGUAGGCGGAUGGGAACGUCGGAUACUGAAAGCCCCCGGCUCAACCGGGGAAGUGGAGCCGAAACGACCGAUCUGGAGGGACGUAGGGGGACCUGGAACUUCCGGUGGAGCGGUGAAAUGCGUUGAGAUCGGAAGGAACGCCGGUGGCGAAAGCGACGUGCUGGACCUCUUCUGACGCUGAGGCGCGAAAGCUAGGGGAGCGAACGGGAUUAGAUACCCCGGUAGUCCUAGCCCUAAACGAUGGGCACUAAGUAGAGGGGUUUU
rnacentral:rRNA from 1 species